rnacentral:misc_RNA from 1 species
GCCGCGUCGACGUGGACGUAUGGGGUGUGACGCCUGCCCGGUGCUGGAAGAUUAAAUGAUGGGGUGCAAGCUCUUGAUUGAAGUCCCAGUAAACGGCGGCCGUAACUAUAACGGUCCUAAGGUAGCGAAAUUCCUUGUCGGGUAAGUUCCGACCUGCACGAAUGGUGUAACGAUUUGGGUGCUGUCUCAGCCGUGAGCUCGGUGAAAUUGUAGUCUCGGUGAAGAUGCCGAGUACCCGCCACGGGACGGAAAGACCCCGUGCGUCGACGCGGCCG